rnacentral:lncRNA from 1 species
GGCAGAAGUUAAGCCCACUGUGUUGGUAUGAACAGAAGAGGGAAGAUUCUAGAGAUGUUUCUGAGGCAAAAAAUCAAAGGAUCAGGUGAAGGAUGAAGAGAUAACAGAUUCUGAAGUGGUGUGAUGAAAGCAAGGAAUAAGAUAAUUUUAGGGGAAAAAAAUCAUACUCAACAAUACCCCCAACACGACCAAAACAGGGACCAAGAAAUCAAACAAGGUAAAUAUAGGAAAGUAAUGAUUGGGUUUGGCAGUUCAAAAGUUCAUGACCUCAAAAUAAUGGGUCAAGUAGAAAAUGCAACAAAGGGAAUUGGGGAAAUUAUUACUGACUCAGCUUUUUACGCCCACCAAAAAUAAACCAGAAGUAUUUCCAUCAUAUAACCCAGCAUUAAAUGUUGUCAUGACAAUUCAAUUUGAUGGAAGGAAAAUUAUUCCAUUUUUGGACCACAGCUUUGUCUCCUACUUCUAUUUUUUAGUAAGUUAAAUAAUUUAUUUCAUUCAAAGACAAAUGUGCUUUUUUCUCAUUAGCCACAAUAACCUUAAGCUAGUAACUCUUUUCUCUAUGUAUAUAUUCAUUAUGUUUUUAUUUUUAAUAGCCAAUAUACACAUGACCUCUUUUAAAACUCACAGAGUGCAGAAGAGUAUAAGGUAUAAAGUAAAUAUCUCUCUCUCUCCAAUUUUCCCAUUAAAAACAGGCACCAAUAUCUUGACAGUAUUUCUAGGGGUGGUCCAUGUGGACACAGACAUAUAGGUAUAUGCCUUCCCUUUUGGCAUUUGUAUACAUUGCUUCAUGCCUUGCUUUUUCCACUGUUCCAUCUCCUUGCAUACAGACCUGCCUCUCAUUUUGAAAUGGCUGUAUGGUAUUUCCUUGGAUUGAUUUUUUUUUUAGCAUAUCUUAUUUCAUUAGACCUUUAUGAAUGAACUUUUAAUUUGUUUAUACUAUUUGAUAGUAUAAUCAGGGCUGUGGUAAAUGCUCUCUCUUUGGGUGUAUCCAUAGGACAAAUUAUAAUUGAAACUGCUAAGUUAAAGGACAUGUGCAUUUAAGAUAUUCAUAGGUAUGCUAAACCGCCCUCUCACAUUCCCACCAACCAACAAUGUAAAAGAGUGACAGCUACACUACCCCCUCACCCAGCACAGUGUUUUAUGAUGCCUUUUGUUCUUUGCCAAUCUGGGUGGUGAGGGUGAACCUCAGAUCUGGGCUGAGCCAGGAAUGCUUGAGACAAUGACCUCAGAGUCCUAUUUCUCCAGGAACUACAGAGUAAAUGUGGAAUGGUAUGUCUGCCUCACCUGCAGUGUGGGCCUGUUCUUAGACUAAAGGGACUGUGAAUGGACAUGCAGGCCUCAAGCCACCAUGAAUACAGGUAUAAAAGAGAGUGCCAGGGUGGCCCACAUACACCUUGGUGCUUGCCCACUUAGGAAGUCACUUGGUCCUCCAAAGAUAUGAAUAUACUUUAUAGCUGUAUUACUUGUCCCUGCAUCCCUUCAGAAAGCUAAGAAACCUCAGUAUUAUUUCAAAGCCUAUUAUAACUCACAAAUAUAUGUAGGUACACAACUCACUGGUUUAAAUUUCCAUUUACUUUAUUAUAAGUGAAGUGGAGCAUUUUUCCUAAAAGUUCAAUCCAUUUUGACGAAUUAUCUAUCAUGUUCUUUGCCCACUAGGGAAGUGAUGUUUAUAUUCUCAUUGAUUUAUAAAUAGUCUUUAUAUGUCACAGGAUGUGUCCUUUGUCAUACGUUUUGCAUUUUUUUUCAGUUUUUCAUUUGUCUUCUGACCACAUUUAUUAUUUCUUACCAUGAAGAAUAAUUGAUGUCUAUAGUUAUAUGUAUCCAUCUUUCCUCUUAAGACUUUAGGAUUUUAUAAAGUCCUUUCAAAUAUCUAUUUUAUUUUAAGAUUAUAAAAUUUUUCUUUCAUGUCUUCCUCUAGUUCUUUUAUUUUCUCCAUUUUUUUAAUAGUCAAUAUAUCUGGACUUCUUAUUUUGGCAUAAAGGGUGAGUUAGAAAUCCAACUUUAUUUUUUUCACAUUAUUACCUAAAUCAAUUCCUUGAUAAUAAAAGCUUCCACAUUCACUAACAAGCUAUGGUUACAAGCUCUUUUUCAGUGUUAGCAAUAUUAAACUCUCAAAAUGCUUAAAAUUUCCCUCAGCAAUAUAGAACAGAGUAUGCCAAUAGGAAGCUAGAGACAUCGAAUGCUCUAUUCCACCUUUUAAUUAAUGGUUCCUAAAAAACACACUAUAAAAGGAGUUGCAAAAUUUCAACAGGAAUUAAACUUGUAAUUUAGGUGAACAUCUGUCAGAUGGGCAAAAGACUGUCCACAAGUCAAAAAAAGAUAAAGAAAAGUGUGUGUCCACCCACCCCUGCUGCAUACUUUUUCCUCCAAAAGAAGAGGCUUUGGUUGAUGAGAUGGGAAGGCACUCCAGAGAGGAAAAGAGCUGCUCUUUGAAGGGACAAGGGGUAAAUCCACAGGAUUCCUCUCCAGAUUCAUAGCUUUUCCCCCUCAAAGAGUUCUAGACGAUUCAGUUCAACAAUACUAACUCUCAGCCACAUAAAGCAGAGAUACAAGUGGGUUUAGUGCUAAAUUCUCUACCAUGGAAAAUUCUCAGUAGUGGGCUUUAUUUCUUUUUUAUUCAUGUUAUUUUUAUUUUUUUAUUUCUUUUGCUUUUUAGAGCAGCACCUGUGGCAUAUGGAAGUUCCCGGGCUAGGGGUCUAAUUGGAGCUGUAGCCGCCGGCCUAUGCCACAGCCACAGCAACGCAGGAUCCGAGCCACAUCUGCAACCUACACCACAGCUCAGGGCAACGCUGGAUCCAUAACCCCCUGAGCAAGGCCAGGGAUCGAACCUGCAACCUCAUGGUUCCUAGUCAGAUUCAUUUCCUCUGCACCACGACAGGAACUCCUGGUUGGACUUUAAAGAGGUUAGCAAGUAAGACACAGAGGGCACAGAGCGUGAGUUAGGGGAACAGUGAGCAUGAGGUCUUCAUUCCUAUUUUCUAGAAACAAAGCUACAUUGUCCAAGAAAUCAAAUUACCCCCCUUGCAAUGAAUAGCGAAUAAAUAAAUAAAUAAAUAAAUGGAACUGGGAGAGUCCUUCCAAAGUCAAUAGAUUAACACUAAAUAAUUAAUUACUAAACCUUAGCAAAUGUGGUUAUGGGCUGUGUGUGUCAGCCAUCCCAUAGCUUAAGAUCUGGGAUAAAACAGUUCAAGCAAAUUGAUCGACCAGCUAAUGAGGAAACACAAGACCUAGAUAGAUCUUUCACCUUGUGGGUAAUCCAGGGAAACAUCGGAGCUUAUGCAAAAACGUAUGGUAUUGGUCAGGGCUCUCGGCUGCAUUAAAUGGAGAACAAUUGUGAUUAUCUUAAGCUAAACAGGGAAUUUAGAUGUAAUAUAACAGAUGGCUACAGGAUAAGGGGUGAAAAGAAGCAGAAACCAACAAAUUCAGGCACCGAAAGAACAGAAUGCAUCAGUCAGGCUCAUAUUUAAAUGCUACACAAACUGUCCCUGGCUGAUUUAAAUGAAAAUAAAUUUACUGACAGCAUUGUUGGGAGCCCCAGAAUUGAGAGACAGAUUGGAAAAUCAGGCUCAGAAAAUGAUCAGGAUUCAUAAGAGGCAUGGCCAGAAACACAUGAAUUCCUCCCACAAGGAUGGCACAUCUGCCUCAGAGACGAAACACUGUGACAUGCGAGCAUUGUCUCAGCCCCAAGUAACCACAACUCAGAUCCUGCCCUAGCAACUGGUCAUGGCUGUCACCACUGCAUAGAACCAGUGAAUUCUCUAUGGCCCAGAUCUUGGCAUCAUGAGCUUUAGGAUCCCAGGAAAGUCCAUCUCAUCAGCCAAGUCAUGUGCCCAGCUCAUGGCUUGUUGCAGGGCCUAGGACUUCACAUCAGACUUUUUAGCUUUAAUUGUGGAGGAUUUUCUCAGCGCUCCCCUCCUCAACAAGACAACACUCUGGUCAGUAAAGGAAAUGACAAAUGACCAUUCAAUGGACAACCCAACAUGAAUGUUCUUGGCAGGACAUCAUUGCCACUCCAACUGAACAUCAAUAUUGUCACUCCUUGACACCACUACUAUUGCUCCUGCUUCUGCAAACAAAUUAGAAUUGAGUCCUGGCCAUCAGAAGAAGGGACGGAGGAAGCAUCUGGACACUUAGGCUUCCAAAGAGAAAGUUGAGCAGCAAUGUUUCAUUAAAAAGAGAACACAGCCACCAACGUGCAGGAAGAAAUUUUGUUAAUGUUUUAGAAAAUGCUUUUAAAACGACAUGUUUUGGUUUUUCAUUGAAAUUAAGGAAAGCACAGAGUCUGUAAACUGAAAGAUAAAGAGAAGAGGGACCUACUUAAGGGAAGAAUAUAAAAGAAUUAAUACAUCAUAUUCAAAUUUAAUAUUUCCUUAGAGAUUGCAGAAGAGAAAGCCCUUAGUGCAAAAAAGAAGAGCAAAGAAAUAAAAAGAUGAAAAAUAUAGAUAACAUGAAAUGAAGUCACACAGACAUAUGCAAUGCAAUGGAAAGGGAUCAUAAGACACUGAAAAUUAGCAAUCAUCAGAGAUAUAAUGAAAGAAAAAUUUUCUAAACAAAGGCAAUACCUUCUGAGAACUCAGAUUAAACAUGUUCUCCAAGAGAACAUAAUUAACAAAAAGGAUCAACACAGGUAUAUGUGCUGGUGCCUUUAAUUUUUUUUAAUUUUUUUAUUACUCACUGAAUUUAUCACAUCUGUAGUUGUAUAAUGAUCAUAACAAUCUGAUUUCACAGGAUUUCCAUCCCACAGCCCAAGCACAUCCCCCCACCCUCCAAACUCUCUCCUCCGGAGACCAUAAGUUUUUCAAUGUCUGUGAGUCAGCAUCUGUUCUGCAAAGAAGUUCAUCUGUCCUUUUUUCAGAUUCCACAUGUCAGUGAAAGCAUUUGAUGUUGGUGUCUCAUACUGACUUCACUUAGCAUGAUAGUUUCUAGGUCCAUCUAUGUUGCUAAAAAUGCUGGUAUUUCCUUCUUUUUAAUGGCUGAGUAAUAUUCCAUUGUGUAUAUGUACCACAUCUUCUUGAUCCACUCCUCUGUCGAUGGACAUUUAGGUUGCUUCCAUGUUUUGGCUAUUGCAAAUAGUGCUGCAAUGAACAUUGGAGUACAUGUGUCUUUGCGAGUCAUGGUUUUCUCUGGAUAGAUGCCCAGGAGUGGGAUUGCUGGAUCAAAUGGUAGUUCUAUGUUUAGUUUUCUGUAGAAUCUCCAUACUGCUUUCCACAGUGGUUGCACCAAUUUACAAUCCCACCAACAGUGUAGUAGGGUUCCUUUUUCUCCACACCCUCUCCAGCAUUUAUUGUUUGUAGACUUUCUGAUGAUGUCCAUUCUGGCUGGUGUAAGGUGGUACCUCAUUGUGGUUUUGAUUUGCAUCUCUCUAAUAAUGAGUGAUGUUGAACAUCCUUUCAUGUGUUUCUCGGCCAUCUUUAUGUCUUCUUUGGAGAACUGUCUGUUUAGAUCUUCUGCCCAUCUUUUGAUUGGGUUGUUUGGUUUUUUUGGUAUGGAGCUGCAGAAGGUGUUUAUAAAUUUUGGAGAUUAAUCCCUUGUCAGUUGCUUCAUUUGCAAAUAUUUUCUCCCAUUCUGUGGGUGGUCUUUUUGUUUUGUUUAGGGUUUCCUUUGUUGUGCAGAAACUUUGAAGUUUGAUUAGGUCCCAGUUGUUUACUUUUGUUUUUGUUGUCAAUACUCUUAAAGAGGUGGAUCUGAGAAGAUGUUGCUGUCAUUUAUGUCAGAGAGUGUUUGGCCUAUGUUUUCCUCUAGGAGUUUUAUAGUGUCUGGUCUUAUAUGUAGGUCUUUAAUCCAUUUGGAGUUUAUUUUUGUGUAUGGUGUUAGGGAAUGUUCUAAUUUCAUUCUUUUCCAUGUGGCUGUCCAGUUUUCCCAGCACCAAUUAUUGAACAAGCUGUCCUUUCUCCAUUGUAUAGUCUUGCCUCCUUUGUCAUAGAUUAGUUGGCUGUAGGUGUGUGGGUUUAAUUCUAGGCUUUCUAUCCUGUUUCACUGAUCUAUAUUUCUGUCUUUGUGCCAGUACCAUGUGGUUUUGAUGAUUGUUGCUUUGUAGUAUAGUCUGAAAUCCAGGAGCCUGAUUCCUCCAGCUCUAUUUUUCUUUUUCAGGAUGUCUUUGGUUCUUCUGGGUCUUUAGUGCUUCCAAACAAACUUUAAAAUCUUUUGAGUUCUGUGAAAAAUGUUCUUGGUAGUUUGAUAGGGAUUGCAUUGAAUCUGUAUAUUGCCUUAGGUGGUAUAGUCAUUUUGAUAGUAUUAACUCUUCCAAUCCACGAGCAUGGUAUAUCUUUCCAUCUAUUUGCAUCAUCUUUGAUUUCUUUCAUCAGUGGCUUAUAGUUUUCAGAGUACAGGUCUUUUGUCUCUUUAGGUAGGUUUAGUCCUAGGUAUUUUAUUCUUUUAGAUGUGAUGGUAAACGGGAUUGCUUCCCUAAUUUCUUUUUCUGCUCUUUCAUUGUUAGUGUAUAGAAAUGCCAUCGAUUUCUGUGUAUUGAUUUUGUAUCCUGCGACUUUGCCAAAUUCGUGGAUGAGCUCUAACAGUUUUCUGGUGGAGUCUUUAGGAUUCUCUAGGUAUAGUAUCAUGUCAUCUGCAAAUAGGGAUAGUUUUGCUUCUUCCUUUCCAAUUUGGAUUCCUUUUA